rnacentral:rRNA from 1 species
CAGCUUGACUGCGAGCGUGACGGCGCGAGCAGGUGCGAAAGCAGGUCAUAGUGAUCCGGUGGUUCUGAAUGGAAGGGCCAUCGCUCAACGGAUAAAAGGUACUCCGGGGAUAACAGGCUGAUACCGCCCAAGAGUUCAUAUCGACGGCGGUGUUUGGCACCUCGAUGUCGGCUCAUCACAUCCUGGGGCUGAAGUAGGUCCCAAGGGUAUGGCUGUUCGCCAUUUAAAGUGGUACGCGAGCUGGGUUUAGAACGUCGUGAGACAGUUCGGUCCCUAUCUGCCGUGGGCGCUGGAGAAUUGAGGGGGGCUGCUCCUAGUACGAGAGGACCGGAGUGGACGCAUCACUGGUGUUCGGGUUGUCAUGCCAAUGGCACUGCCCGGUAGCUAAAUGCGGAAGAGAUAAGUGCUGAAAGCAUCUAAGCACGAAACUUGCCCCGAGAUGAGUUCUCCCUGACUCCUUGAGAGUCCUGAAGGAACGUUGAAGACGACGACGUUGAUAGGCCGGGUGUGUAAGCGCAGCGAUGCGUUGAGCUAACCGGUACUAAUGAACCGUGAGGCUUAACCUU